AGCUUUGCACAGUGGCAGUAUUGUAGCCAAUGAGGUUUAUCCAAGGCGCAUUUAUUGCUAAUUAUUUUAAAGAUUUUACGUCUGCCUUUGGCUCAGGGUGUGAUCCUGGAGUCCCAGGAUCAAGUCCUACAUCAGGUAGGACUUUGCAUGGAGCCUGCUU
rnacentral:snRNA from 1 species